UUGCUUAACCUUCUAACUGUCAGUGUAGUGCAGUCAGUGCUCAGUAGUGUCAACAACAAGAGAAAAAAGUUGUUUUCAGAAGAAUUCUUAAACUGGACUGCUGAUUAAACUGGAAAACUAUUUCUAGCAACAUCUAGCAAAUUCUUUGAAUCAUGACAGCAGAAGAAACCCUUCGGAGGCCGAGUAUACCUGCCAAGUCGUCAAAGAAUCUGGACCAUUUGUCAAAUUUCAGCUAGAGUGGCACUUGCCAAAGCACAGUACAAAUCGCAUGCAUGAUAUACUCAACAAGCCAGGAGCUAUCAACACCCUUCACCUGACAAUCCCAAAGUUACAGGAGUCUGAUAGUGGAAAGUACCGUUGUGUUGCCAGAGGUCUAUUACUACCAUCAAAAUUUUUAAAAUGAUUUCAUCUGUUUCCAAAAAUACUCUUCAUCUUUCAUCAGCACAGAGACUUUGUGUUGGGAAAU
rnacentral:misc_RNA from 1 species